GUCUACAGCCACUCCAUCCUGAAUGCUCCUGAUCUUGUCUGAGAUCUUGGAAGCUAAGCAGGGUCGGGCCUGGUUAGUACUUAGAUAGGAGAAAUUGACA
rnacentral:rRNA from 1 species